AAAAUUGUCCCGUUAAUUUCUUUUGACUGAAAUACCAAAUUGGAAUAGAUUUUAAAUGGCAGAACUUGUGAUCAGCGUCACAGGGGAAGUGGGCAAGUGAGGAGUGUCUGGUAUUUCCAACUUCGUUGGGGCUUUGAUGGAGAUAGAGCAGGUGUGUGCGUGUGAUGUGUGCCUGUGCAUGCGUGUG